AUUGAACGCUGGCGGCAGGCUUAACACAUGCAAGUCGAGCGGGGGAAGGUAGCUUGCUACUGGACAUAGCGGCGGCCGGGUGAGUAAUGCUUAGGAACCUGCCUAUUAGUGGGGGACAACAUCUCGAAAGGGAUGCUAAUACCGCAUACGUCCUACGGGAGAAAGGAGGGGAACUUCGGAGCUUGCGCUAAUAGAUGAGCCUAAGUCGGAUUAGCUAGUUGGUGGGGUAAAGGCCUACCAAGGCGACGAUCUGUAGCGGGUCUGAGCGGAUGACCCGCCACACUGGGACUGAGACACGGCCCAGACUCCUACGGGAGGCAGCAGUGGGGAAUAUUGGACAAUGGGGGGAACCCUGAUCCAGCCAUGCCGCGUGUGUGAAGAAGGCCUUAUGGUUGUAAAGCACUUUAAGCGAGGAGGAGGCUACUCUAGUUAAUACCUAGGGAUAGUGGACGUUACUCGCAGAAUAAGCACCGGCUAACUCUGUGCCAGCCGCCGCCGUAA
rnacentral:rRNA from 1 species